UUAUGCCCUGUGUGGAUGUCAGAGCAAGAGACCCAAGGACAUUAGGAUGCCCUACAGAAACUCAUCUGCACUCUGACGACAAAACCGUGGCCUGUGCUUAAAACCUCAGCCCCGCUGCUGCAAGUGAUCCCCAGAGCACCACGGGGGAGUCCCUGUCACCGCCGAGGCACCUGUGCUGUAACGGGACACAGUGGCCACUCCACCAGCGAGCUGACAACGUAGGCCCCUGGUCUCACACCGUUACUUCAGACAGUACAAAUAACAUCUAUGGAGCAUGUUUCACUGCCUUGCUUCCAGGGGAUAGUCAGUCUCACAGGGAUGACAGAAACCAAAUCAAGGAAUGUCGUUUGAUUAAGUUGGAGACAAUGGUAACAAAAAGAGGCUUGCUGUGACACUGGACAUGAUGACAGCCUUGAGUGGAGGAAAACCAGGAUUUUGGAGACCCUAAAAAUUGUGCAGUUUGACUCAGUGACAGGAUGUCUUUAUUCAUUACAUGUAAACAGCAAACUGGAAAGAGAGCAAAUUGUAGCCUAUAGUGAUCCUGUCUACACUGGUGAA